rnacentral:rRNA from 1 species
UACGUAGGGUGCAAGCGUUUGUCCGGAAUUAUUGGGCGUAAAGAGCUCGUAGGCGGUUUGUCGCGUCGAAUGUGAAAACCCGGGGCUCAACCCCGGGCCUGCAUUCGAUACGGGCAGACUAGAGUUCGGUAGGGGAGUCUGGAAUUCCUGGUGUAGCGGUGAAAUGCGCAGAUAUCAGGAGGAACACCGGUGGCGAAGGCGGGUCUCUGGGCCGUAACUGACGCUGAGGAGCGAAAGCGUGGGGAGCGAACAGG